rnacentral:rRNA from 1 species
CGAAAGCCUGACGGAGCAACGCCGCGUGAGGGAUGAAGGCCUCUGGGCUGUAAACCUCUUUUAUCAAGGAAGAAGAUCUGACGGUACUUGAGGAAUAAGCCACGGCUAAUUCCGUGCCAGCAGCCGCGGUAAUACGGGAGUGGCAAGCGUUAUCCGGAAUCAUUGGGCGUAAAGCGUCCGCAGGCGGCCUUGAAAGUCUGUCGUUAAAGCGUGGAGCUUAACUCCAUUUCAGCGAUGGAAACUACAAGGCUUGAGUGUGGUAGGGGCAGAGGGAAUUCCCAGUGUAGCGGUGAAAUGCGUAGAUAUCGGGAAGAACACCAGUGGCGAAGGCGCUCUGCUGGGCCAUAACUGACGCUCAUGGACGAAAGCCAGGGGAGCG